rnacentral:rRNA from 1 species
GAUGAACGCUGGCGGCGUGCCUAAUACAUGCAAGUCGAGCGAACAGAUAAGGAGCUUGCUCCUUUGACGUUAGCGGCGGACGGGUGAGUAACACGUGGGUAACCUACCUAUAAGACUGGGAUAACCUCGGGAAACCGGAGCUAAUACCGGAUAACAUUUGGAACCGCAUGGUUCUAAAGUGAAAGAUGGUUUUGCUAUCACUUAUAGAUGGACCCGCGCCGUAUUAGCUAGUUGGUAAGGUAACGGCUUACCAAGGCAACGAUACGUAGCCGACCUGAGAGGGUGAUCGGCCACACUGGAACUGAGACACGGUCCAGACUCCUACGGGAGGCAGCAGUAGGGAAUCUUCCGCAAUGGGCGAAAGCCUGACGGAGCAACGCCGCGUGAGUGAUGAAGGGUUUCGGCUCGUAAAACUCUGUUAUUAGGGAAGAACAAACGUGUAAGUAACUGUGCACGUCUUGACGGUACCUAAUCAGAAAGCCACGGCUAACUACGUG